UGGGGAAUUUUGGACAAUGGGCGAAAGCCUGAUCCAGCAAUGCCGCGUGUGUGAAGAAGGCCUUCGGGUUGUAAAGCACUUUUGUCCGGAAAGAAAUCCUUGGCUCUAAUACAGUCGGGGGAUGACGGUACCGGAAGAAUAAGCACCGGCUAACUACGUGCCAGCAGCCGCGGUAAUACGUAGGGUGCAAGCGUUAAUCGGAAUUACUGGGCGUAAAGCGUGCGCAGGCGGUUUGCUAAGACCGAUGUGAAAUCCCCGGGCUCAACCUGGGAACUGCAUUGGUGACUGGCAGGCUAGAGUAUGGCAGAGGGGGGUAGAAUUCCACGUGUAGCAGUGAAAUGCGUAGAGAUGUGGAGGAAUACCGAUGGCGAAGGCAGCCCCCUGGGCCAAAUACUGACGCUCAUGCACGAAAAGCGUGGGGAGCAAACAGGAUUAGAUACCCCUGGUAGUCCACGCCCUAAAACGAUGUCAACUAGUUGUUGGGGAUUCAUUUCCUUAGUAACGUAGCUAACGCGUGAAGUUGACCGCCUGGGGAGUACGGUCGAAAGAUUAAAAACUCAAAGGAAUUGACGGGGUCAUAGCUGUUUCCU
rnacentral:rRNA from 1 species